CUCCAGCAGCACUGACUCAAGACCAAGUCAUCCCUUACAGGAAUUACCUACAAAGGAAACGAAAUUUCAUGGCAUCUCUCUGUCAUCCUUCCCUGCAGAUGGUGCCUCCAAAUCCCUUCUGAAGGCAACUGUGAGGACCACCAUACAACCCUGACCACUGAACCACUGUGGUUUAAUUAUGCAAAACUGGGGUUGAAGAUUCAAGAUAUUGCUCAGAUUGUUUUGCAGUAAACUCUUCUGAUUCAGCAGUGUCAGCAGGAAGGAGCCCAUGGAUGCCAAACUAACUCCAUCUCUGCAGCCUGUUGUGCCAUCACAUGAAAAUAGGAUUCUUGCUUCUGGAUCACUCAGCUCUGUUGUGCAGGUCAAAGCAGGACGUGAUGCUACAUGGAAAGACAAGCCAAGGAGAGCUUGCUCAGGUAAAUCAAACCUGCAAGUAGUGGUAACUAUGCUGGAGUUUAUCUGUGCUGUCCGUUCAUGUACCACAGCA
rnacentral:lncRNA from 1 species